GGUCAAGCUACUAAGAGCUUAUGACGGAUGACUUGGUACGAGAAGGCGAUGAAGGGCGUGGUAAGCAGCGAUAUGCUCCGGGGAGCCGCAAACAGGCUUUGAUCCGGAAAAUUCCGAAUGGGGCAACCCAUCGCAAGUUAUUUUGCGAUAGCCCCGCCAUGAAUUCAUAGUGGUGGGGCAGCGAAACCGGGAGAAGUGAAACAUCUAAGUACCCCGAGGAAAAGAAAUCACCGAGAUUGCCUCAGUAGCGGCGAGCGAAGAGGCAAGAGCCUAAACCAAUUUUGCGCAAGCAAAAU
rnacentral:rRNA from 1 species